rnacentral:tRNA from 1 species
AAGAAGUUAGUUUAAACAAAACAAUUAUUUGUCAAAUAAAAAUUAUAUAAUAAAUAUAUAUACAUCUUG